GACGAACGCUGGCGGCGUGCUUAACACAUGCAAGUCGAACGGAAAGGCCCUGCUUUUGUGGGGUGCUCGAGUGGCGAACGGGUGAGUAACACGUGAGUAACCUGCCCUUGACUUUGGGAUAACUUCAGGAAACUGGGGCUAAUACCGGAUAGGAGCUCCUGCUGCAUGGUGGGGGUUGGAAAGUUUCGGCGCUUGGGGAUGGACUCGCGGCUUAUCAGCUUGUUGGUGGGGUAGUGGCUUACCAAGGCUUUGACGGGUAGCCGGCCUGAGAGGGUGACCGGCCACAUUGGGACUGAGAUACGGCCCAGACUCCUAAGGGAGGCAGCAGUGGGGAAUAUUGCACAAUGGGCGGAAGCCUGAUGCAGCAACGCCGCGUGCGGGAUGACGGCCUUCGGGUUGUAAACCGCUUUCGCCUGUGACGAAGCGUGAGUGACGGUAAUGGGUAAAGAAGCACCGGCUAACUACGUG
rnacentral:rRNA from 1 species